rnacentral:rRNA from 1 species
CCUACGGGGGGCAGCAGUCGAGAAUCAUUCACAAUGGGGGAAACCCUGAUGGUGCGACGCCGCGUGGGGGAAUGAAGGUCUUCGGAUUGUAAACCCCUGUCAUGUGGGAGCAAAUUAAAAAGAUAGUACCACAAGAGGAAGAGACGGCUAACUCUGUGCCAGCAGCCGCGGUAAUACAGAGGUCUCAAGCGUUGUUCGGAAUCACUGGGCGUAAAGCGUGCGUAGGCUGUUUCGUAAGUCGUGUGUGAAAGGCGGGGGCCCAACCCCCGGACUGCUCUGGAAACUGGGUAACUUGAGUGCAGGCG